UUCAAACUUGCAACCUUUCUGUUACUAGUCCAACGCUCUAACCACUAGGCUACCAUGCCGCCCCACUAAGUUCUUGAAAUGUUCCAGGUUUUGACUGACCAUCAUGUCUUAAAGUAACAAUGGACUGUCAUUUAUCCUUGCUUAUUUGAGCUAUUCUUGCCAUAAUAUGGUCUUGGUCUUUUACUAAAUAGGGCUAUCUUCUGUAUACCAUCCCUACCUUCUCACAACACAACUGAUUGGCUCAAUGCAUUAAGAGGAAAGAAAUUCCACAAAUGAACUUUUAACAAGGCACACCUGUUAAUUCAAAUACAUUCCAGGUGACAACCUCAUAAAGCUGGUUGAGAUAAUGCCAAGAUUGGGCAAAGCUGUCAUCAAGGCAAGGGUGGCUACUUUGAAGAAUCUAAAAUAUAUUUUGAUUUGUUUAACACUUUUGGUUACUACAUGAUUCCAUAUGUGUUAUUUCAUAGUUUUGAUGUAUUCACUAUUCUACAAUGUAGAAAAUAGUCAAAUAAAGAAAAACCCUGGAAUGAGUAGGUGUGCCCAAACUUUUGACUGGUACUGUAUAUACACAAUCAUGUGGACUUGAAAAACAUAGUCUGUAAGAACAAAUCAUAGCACUGAUGAAGCAUGUUCUGCACUGUAUGUGAAUAUGUAGCUAAUAAAAGUGUCCAAAUAUCCUCUCAUUCAAUAUUUACAUUACAUUUGAGUCAUUUAGAAGACUGUCUAAUCCAAAGUGAUUUAACAGUCAGUGCAUUAGUUCCACCACUGAGGUGCCAGCACAGAGAAGAACUGAAAUUUGGAUGAGUGGGAGUUGGCCCCUCGCAGGGAUGGUGGAUCCAAGUGGCCAGAGGUGGCAGAAUGGAGUGCUUGUGCUGGAGUGUAGGACUUGACCAUUUAGUUGAGGUAGGGAGGAACAGUUCCCUGUGCUACUCUGUUGGCAAGUGAGGAUCUUGAAUUUAAUGCGAGGUGCUACUGCACAGUAAUGUCACAAGAGUUCAUUUAACUUCUAUGAAGUCAAAUGUAACACUAUUUUGGGAUUUAUAUGGUCCCACCCCCAUUUUGUGUUAAAACUACUCUGGUCAUGGUGUUAAUAUUUUUUGAGUCAAAACAACACUACAGAUGUCAGAUCUUAAUCUUCACUCUUGUCACAGAGAAAUGUCCUGUUGCAUCAGGGAAUUCAAAUGAGCCCUGUGAUUCCUUGAACAUGAGCAGUUCUCUUUCUCUCCAUGCAGUGGCAGUCAAGUCAUUGGGAUCUGCUGUCAAUAACAUUCUCUCUCGCUCGCUUCAAACGCAAGGCCUAUGUCUUAUUACUGCAGCAUUCAUAUGUAAAAAACUUUAUCUGAAAUGUAGCCAUACAGAUCAACAACCAUUAUUUUAUAUAGCUUAAUAACACAAGAUAGAUAUUGGUCUCCUCUAGGCAAUGGCAUACAAGUGUGGAGUGUAUCCUAAGGUUACGAAGGAACUGUCAAAAUUGAGUUCAAUCGUGGCCUGGGGUGGUCGAGUACAGGGUGCCCCAGGCCCGAGUUUGAGAAACCCUGGUUUAGUUGUUAAGGCCGCUGCCUUCAGUGCACAUAUAGAGUUAGCGUGUCGACGUGGGUUUGAUUCUGGCCCACUUGGGUUUGAUUCUGGCCCACGCCCUUCUGGUACAGAUAACUCAAUGCCCC
ensembl:lncRNA